UACGAAGGGUGCAAGCGUUGCUCGGAAUUAUUGGGCGUAAAGCGCACGUAGGCGGCUUAGCAAGUUGGAUGUGAAAUCCCUCGGCUCAACCAAGGAAGUGCAUCCAAAACUGCUGAGCUUGAGUACUAAAGAGGAUCGCGGAAUUCCCGGUGUAGAGGUGAAAUUCGUAGAUAUCGGGAGGAACACCAGUGGCGAAGGCGGCGAUCUGGGUAGAUACUGACGCUGAGGUGCGAAAGCGUGGGGAGCAAACAGG
rnacentral:rRNA from 1 species